rnacentral:tRNA from 1 species
GCCUCUAUAGCUCAGUGGCAGAGCACUGGUCUUGUAAACCAGGGGUCGGGAGUUCGAUCCUCCCUGGGGGCU